AUUGAACGCUGGCGGCAGGCCUAACACAUGCAAGUCGAGCGGUAGCACAGAGAGCUUGCUCUCGGGUGACGAGCGGCGGACGGGUGAGUAAUGUCUGGGAAACUGUCUGAUGGAGGGGGAUAACUACUGGAAACGGUAGCUAAUACCGCAUAACGUCGCAAGACCAAAGAGGGGGACCUUCGGGCCUCUUGCCAUCAGAUGUGCCCAGAUGGGAUUAGCUAGUAGGUGGGGUAACGGCUCACCUAGGCGACGAUCCCCAGCUGGUCUGAGAGGAUGACCAGCCACACUGGAACUGAGACACGGUCCAGACUCCUACGGGAGGCAGCAGUGGGGAAUAUUGCGCAAUGGGCGCAAGCCUGAUGCAGCCAUGCCGCGUGUAUGAAGAAGGCCUUCGGGUUGUAAAGUACUUUCAGCGGGGAGGAAGGCGAUAAGGUUAAUAACCUUGUCGAUUGACGUUACCCGCAGAAGAAGCACCGGCUAACUCCGUGCCAGCAGCCGCGGUAACAC
rnacentral:rRNA from 1 species